GACGAACGCUGGCGGCGUGCUUAACACAUGCAAGUCGAGCGGAGCGGCGAACGGGUGAGUAACGCGUGAGUAACUGCCCCCCUCUCUGGGAUAACAGUUGGAAACGGCUGCUAAUACCGGCUAGUGGGGGAUGACUCGCGUCCUAUCAGCUUGUUGGUUGGGUAGUGGCCUACCAAGGCGACGACGGGGAGCAGGCCUGAGAGGGCGACCGGCCACAAAGGGCUGAAAGACGGCCCAAACGCCGAGGGGGGUGAGCAGUGGGGAAUAUUGCAGAAUGGGGGAAACGCUGAUGCAGCAACGCGCGUGCGGGGUGACGGCAUUCUGGUUGUAAACCGCUUUCGGCCAUGACGCGGUAGUGGCAGAAGAAGCACCGGCUAACUACGUGCCAGCAGCCGCGGUAAUUC
rnacentral:rRNA from 1 species